rnacentral:rRNA from 1 species
CCUACGGGAGGCAGCAGUGGGGAAUUUUGGACAAUGGGCGCAAGCCUGAUCCAGCAAUGCCGCGUGAGUGAAGAAGGCCUUCGGGUUGUAAAGCUCUUUUGUCAGGGAAGAAACGGCAGUUUCUAAUACAGAUUGCUAAUGACGGUACCUGAAGAAUAAGCACCGGCUAACUACGUGCCAGCAGCCGCGGUAAUACGUAGGGUGCAAGCGUUAAUCGGAAUUACUGGGCGUAAAGCGUGCGCAGGCGGUUUUGUAAGUCUGAUGUGAAAUCCCCGGGCUCAACCUGGGAAUUGCAUUGGAGACUGCAAGGCUAGAAUCUGGCAGAGGGGGGUAGAAUUCCACGUGUAGCAGUGAAAUGCGUAGAUAUGUGGAGGAACACCGAUGGCGAAGGCAGCCCCCUGGGCUAAGAUUGACGCUCAUGCACGAAGACGUGGGAGGACAACAGAUAGUAUACCUACGUAGUCCGACCGACCCGUAACCGACUGUCUACUAGUUGUCGGUUCGUUA